GACGAACGCUGGCGGCGUGCUUAACACAUGCAAGUCGAACGAAUUAGCGAACGGGUGAGUAACGCGUAAUCAACCUGCCCUUCCACGGGGGACAACAGUUGGAAACGACUGCUAAUACCGCAUACUGAAGAAGGAGCUUUCGUCUGUUUAGGUAGUUGGAGGGGUAACGGCCCACCAAGGCGAUGAUCAGUAGCCGGUCUGAGAGGAUGAACGGCCACAUGGGGACUGAGACACGGCCCAGACUCCUAAGGGAGGCAGCAGUGGGGAAUCUUCCGCAAUGGACGAAAGGCUGACGGAGCAACGCCGCGGGAGUGAUGACGGACUUCGGGUUGUAAAGCUCUGUUAAUCGGGACGCGGUACCGGAAUAGAAAGCCACGGCUAACUACGUGCCAGCAGCCGCGGUAAUUC
rnacentral:rRNA from 1 species